rnacentral:pre_miRNA from 1 species
AGUGUAAUAACUGGGUCAAAUGAUGAUUCUAUUCUAAGUUUUCUGAGGAAUCUCCAUACUGCUUUCCAGAUUGUUUGCACUAAUUUGCAGUCCCACUGGCAAU